AAAUCUAUCAACAACCACAAAUAUGCUAUUAUAUUUUCUUUGUGUCCUAGGUAACUCUAAUAUGAAAUCCAUGUAAAUGUCGAUCCAGGGUUCCUUAGGCACAGGCAAUGGUGUAUACAAACCAUGUGGCAUAACUCUAGAUUUGGCCUUUUUACAUUGCACACAACUAGAACACAAUUUUUCAACAUCUUUUCUCAUCUUAGGCCAAAAGAAAUAUUCAUGCAAGAUGUCCAAAGUUUUUGCCACGCCAAAAUGGCCCAUUAAACCCCCACUAUGCGAUUCCAACACAAGCAAGUCACGUAUAAAACACUUAGGCACAUAAAGUUUAGUCUCUUUAAACAAGUACCCAUCAUGUCUAUAAUAUUUUUGAAAUGCACCCUUCUCACAAGCAUCAUACAAACCAGCAAAGUCAUUAUCAUUAGCAUACAAAUCUUUCAUGAAUUCAAACCCAAGCAACUUUACAUUAAGUGUAGACAAAAGUGAGUACCUCCUAGAAAGUGCAUCAGCAACAACAUUUUCCUUUCUUUGCUUAAAUUUAAUCACAUAUGGAAAUGAAUUGAUAAAAGCAAUCCAUUUAGUAUGCCUUUUACUCAACUUAUUUUGACUCUUAAGAUGCUUCAAUAAUUCAUGAUCAGAAUGUAUGGCAAAUUCUUUAUGCCACAAAUAAUGUUGCCAAGUUU
rnacentral:misc_RNA from 1 species